rnacentral:rRNA from 1 species
GUGCCUAACACAUGCAAGUCGCACGAGAAAGUGGAGCAAUGCCAUGAGUAAAGUGGCGAACGGGUGAGUAACACGUGACUACCUGCCCUCGAGUGGGGAAUAACCUCGGGAAACCGGGGCUAAUACCGCAUAACAUCGAGAGAUCAAAGCAGCAAUGCGCUUGAGGAGGGGGUCGCGUCUGAUUAGCUAGUUGGUAGGGUAACGGCCUACCAAGGCGAUGAUCAGUAGCCGGCCUGAGAGGGCGCACGGCCACACUGGAACUGAAACACGGUCCAG